AGGUUGGACAACCAUUUGUCUGGAAUUGGUAUAGGGUCUCCUGCUUCAGCAGGGGUUUGGACUAGAAGAUCCCCAACGUCUCUUCCAUUAUUCUCUUCUAUUGCUUAAAUC